UGCCGGUGUAGCUCAACUGGUAGAGCAACUGACUUGUAAUCAGUAGGUUGGGGGUUCAAGUCCUCUUGCCGGCACUGU
rnacentral:tRNA from 1 species